GGCAUACGGCUCAGUAACGCGUAGUCCAUCCUAACCUAUGGACGGGAAUAACCUCGGGAAACUGAGAAUCAAUCGCCCGAUAGAACAUUAUGCCUGGAAUGGUUUAUGUUCCAAAUGAUUUAUCGCCGUAGGAUGGGACUGCGGCCUAUCAGUUUGUUGGUGAGGUAAUGGCCCACCAAGACUAUUACAGGUACGGGCUCUGAGAGGAGUAGCCCGGAGAUGGGUACUGAGACACGGACCCAGGCCCUAUGGGGCGCAGCAGGCGAGAAAACUUUGCAAUGUGCGAAAGCACGACAAGGUUAAUCCGAGUGGUUUCUGCUAAAGGAACCUUUUGUCAGUCCUAGAAACACUGAUGAAUAAGGGGUGGGCAAGUUCUGGUGUCAGCCGCCGCGGUAAAACCAGCACCUCAAGUGGUCAGGAUGAUUAUUGGGCCUAAAGCAUCCGUAGCCGGCUCUGUAAGUUUUCGGUUAAAUCCGUACGCUCAACGUACAGGCUGCCGGGAAUACUGCAAAGCUAGGGAGUGGGAGAGGUAGACGGUACUCGGUAGGAAGGGGUAAAAUCCUUUGAUCUAUUGAUGACCCCCUGUGGCGAAGGCGGUCUACCAAAACACGUCCGACGGUGAGGGAUGAAAGCUGGG
rnacentral:rRNA from 1 species